rnacentral:lncRNA from 1 species
AUGAUGAUAUUUUUUCUAAGAAUGUUUAUCAAUAUGCAUAGAAAGACUUGUACUGCAAGAUUACAUGUCAUUCCUCCACUCAUAAUUCAACAAGGUGUAGUGGAGAGAGCAGCAGAUUAAGAAUCAGAGGAGUUCCUGGCUUCAGAUCCCAGCUCUAUGACUUAGGCAAGUCAUUUAACUUUUCUAGGCCUUGUUUUGCUGAUCUAUCAAAUAAAGAAGUUCAUUAGAUGAACUUUAAAUGUUUC